UCCCAGCGGCAUGUUUGUGCCAGGCCCAGCCUGAUAUUCAAGCUCCCCGGCCAGACACCCUAAAUAGCAGCUGGCACGGCAGGCGGCAUGGAAGGAACGGCGGCACCGGUUUUCCAGCAGGCAUCAUCCCUGAGCAAUGGCCUCCAGUCUCAGGAAACAGGCCCUUCCCUGUCUCUGGAUGUCAAGGAAUCAGCUCUCGAAGCCAAGAGUUUAGGGAUGGAAGCCAAAGACCUGGCUGCAGAUGGCAAAGGCGCAAAGUUGGAUGUAAUGUCUGAUAGCAGGGACAUGAACAUAAACCAGGAUACCAAGCCUGUUGAGCCGGGUGCAAAGGAUGCACAUUGGGAUGGCAGAAUCACAACUGUAACAGCCAUUGCUACAGAACUGGACUUUAAGACUGCAAAUGCUGAAGCCAAAGAGGAUGCAACCAUGAAUACUGCUGGGCCAGAGGCCACAGGUACAGAUUACAGGCAAGCAAGCCCAGAGAUUAAGGAUAUGAUACCUGGUUCCAGGAAGGAGGGCCAGGAUGCCCAGACAACCAUACUGGAUGCUAAAGAUGACAACCAGUAUAGCAAAAUGGCAGUUCUUGACACCAAGGUGGAAGACACCAAAGUAGAACAGGGGAAUAAGGACGGAGACGCUGACAUCAUUUCUCUCGACUGUGAGAUUCUUGGGUUUGGUCCUGACAUUGAUUUCCUGGGCCCAGAUGCUGAGAUCUACAUGCAUUUCAUGCGAAGCCACUGCUGUUAUGAUGCCAUUCCCACCAGCUCCAAACUGGUAGUGUUUGAAACCACCCUACAGAUUAAGAAGGCCUUCUUUGCCAUGGUGGCCAAUGGGGUCCGAGCUGCUCCUCUUUGGGACAGCAAGCAGCAGUGCUUUGUGGGUAUGCUGACGAUCACUGACUUCAUUAACAUCCUGCACCGCUACUAUCGAUCACCUCUGGUUCAGAUAUAUGAAAUUGAGGAACACAAAAUUGAAACGUGGAGAGAGGUAUAUCUUCAAGGUUCCUUCAAACCUUUGGUCUGCAUCUCCCCAAAUGAUAGCCUCUUCGAUGCCAUUUAUUCCUUGAUAAAGAACAAGAUCCACCGACUGCCUGUUAUUGAGCCCAUCUCCGGGAAUGUCCUCUACAUCCUGACACACAAACGUAUCCUCAAAUUCCUGCAUAUUUUUGGAGCCUUGAUUCCAAAGCCAAGAUUUUUGCAGAAGACCAUCCAGGAGCUAGGCAUCGGCACCUUCCGUGAUGUUGCCAUGGUGCAGCAGUCAGCUCCUGUCUAUACUGCCUUGGAGACCUUUGUGGACCGCAGGGUCUCAGCAUUGCCAGUCAUUAACGAAGCAGGGAGCGUGGUUGGCCUGUAUUCCCGCUUUGACGUGAUUCACUUGGCUGCCCAGAAGUCCUACAAUGACCUGGACAUUAGUGUGGGAGAAGCCCUGAAGCAGCGCUCUGUCUGCCUUGAGGGGGUACUCACAUGUCAUGCUUAUGAAACACUAGAAGACAUCAUUGAUCGCAUUGCCAAAGAGCAGGUCCAUCGCCUUGUUCUGGUAGAUGAGAAGAACACCCCACGGGGGAUUGUGUCCCUCUCAGACAUUCUUCAGGCCCUGGUGCUCACACCUGCAGGUAUCGAUGCCCUAAACUCUUAAGCUGCUCGACGCUUCAUCCUUCCUUCAUUUGUACCCUCCAUUUCUUCCACUUCUCUCCAGCUCAGGCAUUGACCGCUAUUCCCUCUGAGGCAGACUUGGAAGAUUACUUGUUGUCUAAGAUCUUGAGUUACUACUACUGCAGCAAUGACAAGUGGGAGUAAGAGACCUCCAGCUGCUGGAAUGGAAGACCUUUUUACCAACCAGGAUGGUGCUGUACACACGCUUUGCCUUUGGCCUUCCUCUGAUCCAGAAUGGGGAAAGAAAUGAUGAGGAAGGAAGUGCGCUUUGUACAGAGCGGUCAGGCCCUUAACCUUCCACAGUGCUGCUGCAGCAGCCUUUCUACAGGCCCCGGAGAGAAACAGGCCCUGGUUGAACAGUGCAGUGGCAGCAGCUUCUCUCCUCCCCCAAGCCCUACGACAGUGUGUGCAUGCAAAAAUCCAAAAAGCUGCAAGGCAGCCAAAAUUGCUUUCUGUGCCAGCUUGUUAAUUCUUAAUGGACACUCAAGGGUUCUUUAAACUCACAAAGGGAAUUGAGAAAAUGAGGCCAAAGCUGUGCAUUAGAAGUGUACAAAUUGGAAUUUGACACUGCUUGAACAGGAUGUCUUGUUAGGCCAGCUGCACUGUAGAAAGCAGCUGAUUCUCCUACUGCUUUUAGGUUGCAGCUGGACACUUGUUCUAGCUACUGGGUUAUUUUAUAUUAUACAUGAACUAGCAACAUGCUGGGAGGUACCCUGGGCUGAGCUGUAAAAAACAGUUCUAAGCCUAGUUGACAGUUAGAGGGCAUAAAAGAUGCUCUUUCAAGACAUCAAUUUUUCCCUUGUGUCUGAAUUCAAAAUAUUUCUGACUUUGAGAAUGCUGAGCUCAAGCUCCUUUCCUUCAGUGGUUGAUGUGGCUCUAGAGGAAAGGACACACAGCCAAAGAGCAGUUGAGGCUUCACUCCUGUGCUCCUGUUGCAAACCAGUGACAAAUUUGCUUCCAUGCUGCUAAAGGCAGACACAAUAGCUCCAGCAAAAUUGGCAAAAAAGUCACAAUUGCCGAUGGAAAGUACUAUUAUGUUGUAGCCAACUUAUGGCAACCUGUAGAGUUCUGAAGACAAGAAGUGUUUUGAAGUGGCCUUUUUUGGAAGUCUCCCAUCCAAGAGUUAACCAGGGUUCAACUUGCUUAGCUUCCAAGACCUGACAUGAUCUAAGAAGACUGGUUUGUAGGGUUAAGGUCUUUUUGUCUGAAUGUCCUUCUAGUAGCCCAGCAGGACCCACAACUCUUUAGCUAGAGUAUCCCCAAAUCUAGUGUACCCUAAUUUAUGGCUAAACUGA